ensembl:lncRNA
UGGAUCCGGAUCCGUGAACAACGUACCCCCCAGCCCCUUCACAGGAGCAGUGACCCGUCCCUCACCUCCAGCUCACACGAGCCCCCGAGAAGGCUCACAGGGCAGGGGAAGCCUCUCGCUUAAAUGAUCUGCGAAGCUUAUGCCCCGUUGCCUGCAGUGCGCUGCCCCUCACUCGCUUUCCUCGGAGUGACCGUCCACACCCCCCCUUCCGGCCCCUUUUCCCCAGCAAGGUGAUAACUUUGUCAAGCCGUAACCCAGCCUAGCUCAACCCAUGGGUAGAGCUGAAGCGCUGCAAUGAAUCUCAGCAGAAUCAUUCCUCACCUCGAGAGCUUGCUGCCCUUAGAAAUGACUUCAGCACGCUUUUGCAAAUGUAAAGGGAAAUCAAGAUUACUUCUUCAUGUCUCUUGAUCUUGACCAGACUAGAAGAACCAGUAGUUCUUAGAGCUGCAGUGGAGAGUGACCUGUUGUGUUUGUGGAAGCUCUGGAAUCCCACAGGAGAAGGAUCACUCAGCACUGUGGCAACCUGCCAAGUACAACUUGUUCUGAAACACAGUGGCUCUGAGAAGUUGCAUUAUCAACUGAAACACAGUGUCAGCUUAGCAGGAGGACAUAAUUGUAAGCUGAUGCCACAGCUCCGUUCCCGCAAAGCAGUACAACAUACUGCUGAAGCCGUCGUUGGGAUUUCAAUCUAAAAUUUUGAGAUAAAUGGACAAGUACAAGCAGAACUACAUGAUAAGCUUAAAAGAGCAUUACCUGGUGAAAACAAAAGAAAAUGUGGGCUGGCCCAGAUGGCUGAAUAUCAAGCUUAAUACAUUUUUGAAAGGCAAGUAUGUCCCCU